CUUGUCGGUGACGAGUUCGCAACCACAGUUUAGUAUUCGAGUUUAACGACCAUGAGAAUACUUUACGUGCACUACCAUCUGAGACAAA
ensembl:snoRNA SNORD33 Small nucleolar RNA Z195/SNORD33/SNORD32 family